GAACCACUUUUAACGGCCGCGGUAUCCUAACCGUGCAAAGGUAGCAUAAUCACUUGUCCUCCAAAUAAGGACUAGAAUGAACGGCUAAACGAGGGCCUAACUGUCUCCUAUAGCCCACCAAUAAACCUGAUCUCUCAGUACAAAAGCUGAGAUAAACACAUUAGACGAGAAGACCCUGUGGAGCUUUAAGCCCUAGUGCCAACACCCACACCACUAUUGACAUAGGCUUUUAGUUGGGGCGACUACGGAGCAAAACAAAACCUCCACGAUACAACUCCAACCCAGUCAAAGACCCACACGUCAAAAACAUUACGACCCAGUCCAACUGAUCACCGAACCAAGUUACCCCAGGGAUAACAGCGCCAUCCUCCCCAAGAGUCCAUAUCGCCAGGAGGGCUUACGACCUCGAUGUUGGAUCAGGACACCCCGGUGGUGCAGCCGCUACCAAAGG
rnacentral:rRNA from 1 species